GGUCUGAUUAUGGCUCAGAUUGAACGCUGGCGGGAUGCUUUACACAUGCAAGCCCAACGGCACGACUUCGGUCUGGUGGCGAGUGGCGAACGGGUGAGUAAUGUCGGAACUGCAGCCUAGAAGCGGGGAUAACUACGCGAAAGCGUAGCUAAUACUCGCAUACGCCCUUCGGGGAAAGCGAAUCUUCGGCAUUUUCGCAAUUAUUAGAGCGGCCGGGAUAUCGGAUUAGCUAGUUGGUGGGGUAACGGCUCACCAAGGCGACGAUCCGUAGCUGGUUUGAGAGGACGAGACCAGCCGCCACUGGGACUGAGACACGGCCCAGACUCCUACGGGAGGCAGCAGUGGGGAAUUCCUGACAAUGGGGAAACCCUGAUCCAGCCAUCCCGCGGUGCGAUGAAGCGCCUUUCGGGUUGUAAAGCGACUUGGCAGGAAGAAACGGCACGGGAUAAUACCCCGUGCAACUGAUCGGCAUCUAUGGUACACCGGCUAACUACGUGCCAGCAGUGCCGCGGCAUACGUAGGCAGGCGUUAAUCGGAAUUACUGGGCGCAAAGCGUGCGCAGGCGGUUCGGAAAGAACGAUGAAAUCCCAGAGCUAACUGGAACUGCAUUUUUAAUCACUGAGCUGAUAAAGCUGAUAGUGUGAACGCGUAGCAGUGAAUGCGUAGAUAUGGAGGAACACCGAUGGCGAAGGCAGCCUCUGGGAUAACACUGACGCUCAUGCACGAAAGCGUGGGGAGCAAACAGGAUUAGAUAUUCCGGUAGUCCACGCCCUAAACGAUGUCAACUAGCUGUUGGGGCCUGGCCUUGUAGCGCAGCUAACGCGUGAAGUUGACCGCCUGGGGAGUACGGUCGCAAGAUUAAAACUCAAAGGAAUUGACGGGACUCGCGCCAGCAGGAUUGAUGGUGGAUUAAUUCGAUGCAACGCGAAAAACCUUACCUGUUCCGAUAUGUCUGGAAUCCGAAGAGAUUUGGGAGUGCUCGCAAGAGAACCGGAACACAGGUGCUGCAUGGCUGUCGCUGCUCGUCGUGAGAGAUGUUGGGUUAAGUCCCGCAACGAGCGCAACCUUGUCAUUAGUUGCGCGAAAGGGCAAUCGCAUCGAGACUGCCGGUGACAAACCGGAGGAAGGUGGGAUGACGUCAGCCCCAUGGCCCUUAUGGGUAGGGUUUCACACGUCAUACAAUGGUCGGGACAGAGGGUCGCCAACCCGCGAGGGGGGAGCCAAUCCCAGAAACCCGAUCAGUCCGGAUCGCAGUCUGCAACUCGACUGCGUGAAGUCGGAAUCGUAAUCGCGGACUUCAGCAUGUCGCGGUGAAUACGUUCCCGGUCUCUGUACACGUCUCGCCCGUCACACCAGUAAGGUUUAUCAGGGCGGUGGUUAGCUCAACCGUAAGGAGGGCGAUUACCACGGUAGGAUCUUGAUGAUCAGUGAAGUCGUAACAAGGUAAC
rnacentral:rRNA from 1 species